UACGUAGGGCGCAAGCGUUAUCCGGAAUUAUUGGGCGUAAAGAGCUCGUAGGCGGUUUGUCGCGUCUGCCGUGAAAGUCCGGGGCUCAACUCCGGAUCUGCGGUGGGUACGGGCAGACUAGAGUGAUGUAGGGGAGACUGGAAUUCCUGGUGUAGCGGUGAAAUGCGCAGAUAUCAGGAAGAACACCCGUGGCGAAGGCGGCUCUCUGGGACGGUACUGACGCUGUGACGCGAAAGCGUGGGGAGCGAACAGG
rnacentral:rRNA from 1 species